UGGGGAAUUUUGGACAAUGGGGGCAACCCUGAUCCAGCCAUGCCGCGUGAGUGAAGAAGGCCUUCGGGUUGUAAAGCUCUUUCGGCGGGGACGAAACGGUCCGUGACAACACCACGGACUAAUGACAGUACUCGCAGAAGAAGCACCGGCUAACUACGUGCCAGCAGCCGCGGUAAUACGUAGGGUGCAGGCGUUAAUCGGAAUUACUGGGCGUAAAGCGUGCGCAGGCGGCUCCUUAAGUCAGAUGUGAAAUCCCCGGGCUUAACCUGGGAACUGCGUUUGAAACUGAGGGGCUAGAGUGUGGAAGAGGGGGGUGGAAUUCCAGGUGUAGCAGUGAAAUGCGUAGAGAUCUGGAGGAACACCGAUGGCGAAGGCAGCCCCCUGGGCUAACACUGACGCUCAUGCACGAAAGCGUGGGGAGCAAACAGGAUUAGAUACCCAAGUAGUCCCUGAGCGGGCUGGCAAGGCGCAU
rnacentral:rRNA from 1 species